rnacentral:rRNA from 1 species
CGCAUCUGUGCAUGCAGCAUAUCAAUAAGCGGAGGAAAAGAAACUAACAAGGAUUCCCCUAGUAACGGCGAGUGAAGCGGGAAGAGCUCAAAUUUGAAAUCUUAAAGGGUUUCCCUUUACGAAUUGUAGUUUAAAGAAGUGUUUUCUGUUGAGGUUUUGGUAAAAGUUCUUUGGAAUAGGACAUCAUAGAGGGUGAGAAUCCCGUAUUUGACCUUUACUUUCAACUUUGUGAUACACUUUCAAAGAGUCGGAUUGUUUGGGAAUGCAGUCCAAAAUGGGUGGUAAAUUUCAUCUAAAGCUAAAUAUUGGCGAGAGACCGAUAGCGAACAAGUACCGUGAGGGAAAGAUGAAAAGAACUUUGAAAAGAGAGUUAAACAGUACGUGAAAUUGUCAAAAGGGAAGCGUUUGACACCAGUGUUGUUUUUCUGAAAAUCAAUUAAAGAACUGUUUAUGCUAAGUUGUUUAGACUUUAUCAGCUAACUGUUUAGUUUUGAGCUUUUCUUUAAUGCACUUUUCAGUUAACAAGUCAACAUCAAUUUCUUUUGCUGUAAAAAAGCUUGAGGAAGGUGGCUUGAGAUUCGUCUUAAGUGUUUAUAGCCUCUUGCCUAUGCAGUCGGAGAGAUUGAGGUCUGCAGCGUAGACUCUUCGGGGCUAAAUGCAUUUGUGCUAAGUUAUAACAUUUUAUAGACAACUUGUAGACUAUGAUUAGUCUUGUAGCUUACUCGCUUAUGCUAUUUUACCUACGCUUAGGAUGUUGAUAGUCACAGCGUGUAC